CCCUAGUAAAGGAAUCAAAGCCUGCAACUUCAUUCGCGUUCGAAGAGCUUUUGACCGUCUCUGGAGUGUAGUCCUACCAUGGCGUCUGCAUGUAGGUUCAUCAGAAGAACGGCUCUUCCGUUCAUCAAAUCCGCCGUUAAAUCAAAUGUUCGAACAACAUCACUUGGGGCGACUGUAACAGCGCCAGCUUCAAGAGUCCCUCUCUCAAACUGUACAGCUCCUGGUCGUCGGUUUUCCUUGUUGAGCAGAUCUCCAGCGGAACUUGGAGGCGUGCAAUCUCUGUUGCCUCUCCACAGCGCCGUUGCAGUUGCGAAGCUUACGUCAUGUCUGAGCUCGAACUCGAGGAGUUGCCGCGCUCUCUCACAGGGUACCCUCUGCCGUACCUCUCCCGGACUCUAAUGUUUUUUUGUUUGAGUGCACAUGAAUCUCCCAAUGAUUGAAAGAAAUAGAUUGGGCUUUGACCUGCGAACCAUGAUUCACAGCAUCAUCAAAUGGAAUUGAUGGUACGUGAAUCGUUUUGCUUCAUGCUGUUUUAGAAGAGCUCGGCCUAUCCGUUCCAAGGUGACAGUGCAAGCAGAUAACCAUUGUUACGACAUUUAUCUUCUCACAUUCAGACAUAUGAGGCUUUUGUAGUUCCUACUCAACAACUGCUUUGGAAAUCAUUAUGGAGCAGUGAAACUGGUUUUGAUUUUUACCAACUGAGAUAAAACUAUUUUUUUUUUUGAUAAAGAAAA